CUACAUGAAGCUGGAAUCGCUAGUAAUCGCGAAUCAGAAUGCCGCGGUGAAUACGUUCCCGGGUCUUGUACACACCGCCCGUCACACCAUGGGAGUCGGAAAUGCCCGAAGUCAGUGACCCAACCGUAAGGAGGGAGCUGCCGAAGGUGGAGCCGGUAACUGGGGUGAAGUCGUAACAAGGUACC
rnacentral:rRNA from 1 species